rnacentral:rRNA from 1 species
UACGUAGGGGGCUAGCGUUGUCCGGAAUCAUUGGGCGUAAAGAGCUCGUAGGCGGUCCGGUAAGUCCGCUGUGAAAGGCGGGGGCUCAACCCUCGAAUGCCGGUGGAUACUGUCGGGCUAGAGUGCGGAAGAGGAGAGUGGAAUUCCUGGUGUAGCGGUGAAAUGCGCAGAUAUCAGGAGGAACACCUAUUGCGAAGGCAGCUCGCUGGGACGUAACUGACGCUGAGACGCGAAAGCGUGGGGAGCAAACAGG